AUUGAACGCUGGCGGCAUGCCUUACACAUGCAAGUCGAACGGCAGCAUGGAGAGCUUGCUCUCUGAUGGCGAGUGGCGAACGGGUGAGUAAAGCAUCGGAACGUACCGUGUAGUGGGGGAUAACGUAGCGAAAGUUACGCUAAUACAGCAUACGCACUGAGGUGGAAAGCAGGGGAUCGCGUGACCUUGCGCUAUACGAGCGGCCGAUGUCAGAUUAGCUAGUUAGUAGGGUAAAGGCCUACCAAGGCGACGAUCGGUAACUGGUCUGAGAGGAUGAUCAGUAACACUGGAACUGAGACACGGUCCAGACUCCUACGGGAGGCAGCAGUGGGGAAUAUUACACAAUGGGGGCAACCCUGAUCCAGCCAUGCCGCGUGUGUGAAGAAGGCCUUCGGGUUGUAAAGCACUUUAAGCUGGGAGGAAGGCCCUGUGGCUAAUAUCCACGGGGAUUGACGUUACCAGCAGAAUAAGCACCGGCAAACUUCGUGCCAGCCGCCGCAGUAA
rnacentral:rRNA from 1 species